GUCGCUCUUCAUCUUCGGCUUCUGCUGGCUGAGUCCCGCGCUGCAGGAUCUGCAAGCCACGGAGGCCAAUUGCACGGUGCUGUCGGUGCAGCAGAUCGGCGAGGUGUUCGAGUGCACCUUCACCUGUGGCGCCGACUGCAGGGGCACCUCGCAGUACCCCUGCGUCCAGGUCUACGUGAACAACUCUGAGUCCAACUCUAGGGCGCUGCUGCACAGCGACGAGCACCAGCUCCUGACCAACCCCAAGACCAGAUGAUGUGCUUCUGCAUCGCACUCAUGAUGAGAUUGUCCUCCUGCAUUGCUUCCUCUGGCCCCUGGUGACAUUUGUGGUGGGCGUUCUCAUUGUGGUCCUGACCAUCUGUGCCAAGAGCUUGGCGGUCAAGGCGGAAGCCAUGAAGAAGCGCAAGUUCUCUUAAAGGGGAAGGAGGCUUGUAGAAAGCAAAGUACAGAAGCUGUACUCAUCGGCACGCGUCCACCUGCGGAACCUGUGUUUCCUGGCGCAGGAGAUGGACAGGGCCACGACAGGGCUCUGAGAGGCUCAUCCCUCAGUGGCAACAGAAACAGGCACAACUGGAAGACUUGGAACCUCAAAGCUUGUAUUCCAUCUGCUGUAGCAAUGGCUAAAGGGUCAAGAUCUUAGCUGUAUGGAGUAACUAUUUCAGAAAACCCUAUAAGAAGUUCAUUUUCUUUCAAAAGUAACAGUAUAUUAUUUGUACAGUGUAGUAUACAAACCAUUAUGAUUUAUGCUACUUAAAAAUAUUAAAAUAGAGUGGUCUGU
rnacentral:lncRNA from 1 species